GGCGGACGGGUGAGUAACACGUGGAUAACCUACCUAUAAGACUGGGGUAACUUCGGGAAACCGGAGCUAAUACCGGAUAAUAUUUUGAACCGCAUGGUUCAAAAGUGAAAGACGGUCUUGCUGUCACUUAUAGAUGGAUCCGCGCUGCAUUAGCUAGUUGGUAAGGUAACGGCUUACCAAGGCAACGAUGCAUAGCCGACCUGAGAGGGUGGUCGGCCACACUGGAACUGAGACACGGUCCAG
rnacentral:rRNA from 1 species